GGGUGCUUAGCUCAGCUGGUAGAGCGGCGCCCUUACAAGGCGUAGGUCGGGGGUUCGAUCCCCUCAGCACCCA
rfam:Burkholderia sp. TJI49 contig1121.1, whole genome shotgun sequence.